ACCUACGGCCACACCACCCUGAAAGUGCCCGAUCUCGUCUAAUCUCAGAAGCGAUCCAGGUCCAGGCCUAGUUAGUACCUGGAUGGGAAUCCAGCUGGGAAUACCAGGUGUUGUGGGCU
rnacentral:rRNA from 1 species